UACGGGGGGGGCAAGCGUUGUUCGGAAUUACUGGGCGUAAAGGGGACGUAGGCGGCCAACUAAGUCCGACGCGAAAUCCCCAGGCUUAACCUGGGAACUGCAUCCGAUACUGGAUGGCUUGAAUCCGGGAGAGGGAUGCAGAAUUCCAGGUGUAGCGGUGAAAUGCGUAGAUAUCUGGAGGAAUACCGGUGGCGAAGGCGGCAUCCUGGACCGGCAUUGACGCUGAGGAGCGAAAGCUAGGGGAGCAAACGGG
rnacentral:rRNA from 1 species